UUCAAGUUAUUUUGUUACCGCU
rnacentral:piRNA from 1 species